GACAGAGGUGCCGAGCGUUAGGCGGAAUCACUGGGCUUAAAGCGUGUGUAGGCGGAUCGUUAAGUGCCUUGUGAAAUCCCACGGCUCAACCGUGGAACUGCUUGGCAUACUGGCGAUCUUGAGCCACUUAGGGGCUACCGGAACAAAUGGUGGAGCGGUGAAAUGCGUAGAUAUCAGUUGGAACGCCAAUGGUGAAAACAGGUAGCUGGGAGUGUGCUGACGCUGAGACACGAAAGCCAGGGGAGCAAACGGG
rnacentral:rRNA from 1 species